UGAGAACACUAAGCCAUAUUGAUCUUCUUUCAAACCAGAUGCUGAUUCAUGCAACCCCUUGCAGAUCUUUGCUGAAGUCCUUAUGGAAAAGGGAAUAAACUUGAAAAUUCCACUCUAAUAGCAAAAACAUUUUGGAAAAUCCCAAUACUUAGAGCUUCAAAGUGCCUGGCUUGGGUUUCUGAACUCCUCCAAGUGAGAGAAGUCAAGCAGGAGGUGCUGGUCCUUCAAAUACCUGCUGGGUCUGUCGACACAGGGAAGAGCUAAGAAGAGAACCAGAUAGGCGGAAAGUUUCAGUUUUGCAAGAUGAAAAUUCUAGAGAUCUGGUACAUUACAGUAAAUCUCUCCCAGUGCUUUCCCAUUUGUGCUACUCCAGGAUGCAUUGCCUUCUGUACUGCUUCCAUGCCAGAGAACAUGGUUAACUCUCUCCUGUGUUGGAUCUCCCCUGUCCUGUACUCAGGGGUUUCCUCAUUGGUAAAGCACACACUGAAGUGGCUUCCUAAUAAAGAAAGUGAAAUGGUAAGUUUUUCGAAACCUUAUAUGUCUUCCCAUUUGACCAAUGAAUUUGAUUGCAUAUAGAACUCUAGAUGGGAGAUCAUUUUUAUUUUAUUUUUUUAUAAUGAUUUUUAUUUUUUCCAUUAUAGUUGGUUUACAGUGUUCUGUCAAUUUUUGAUUGUACAGCAAGUGACCCAGUAACACAUACAUAUAUACACAUUAUCCUCCAUCAUGCUCCAUCACAAGUGACUAGAUACAGUUCCCAGUGCUAUACAGCAGGAUCUCAUUGCUUAUCCAUUCCACCUGCAAUAGUUUGCAUCUGUUAACCCCAGAUUCCCAGUCUAUCCCAUUCCCUCCCCC
rnacentral:lncRNA from 1 species